GAUGAACGCUAGCGGCAGGCUUAACACAUGCAAGUCGAGGGGUAUAGGUUUUCGGACCUAGAGACCGGCGCACGGGUGCGUAACGCGUAUGCAAUCUACCUUUCACAAAGGGAUAGCCCAGAGAAAUUUGGAUUAAUACCUUAUAGUAAUACGACUUGGCAUCAAGAUGUAUUUAAAGAUUUAUCGGUGAAAGAUGAGCAUGCGUCCCAUUAGCUUGUUGGUAAGGUAACGGCUUACCAAGGCAACGAUGGGUAGGGGUCCUGAGAGGGAGAUCCCCCACACUGGUACUGAGACACGGACCAGACUCCUACGGGAGGCAGCAGUGAGGAAUAUUGGACAAUGGGCGCAAGCCUGAUCCAGCCAUGCCGCGUGCAGGAAGAAGGCCUUCGGGUUGUAAACUGC
rnacentral:rRNA from 1 species